rnacentral:rRNA from 1 species
CAAGUCGAACGAUGAACCUCACUUGUGGGGGGAUUAGUGGCGAACGGGUGAGUAACACGUGAGUAACCUGCCCUUGACUCUGGGAUAAGCCUGGGAAACCGGGUCUAAUACUGGAUACGACCUUCUGGCGCAUGCCAUGUUGGUGGAAAGCUUUUGUGGUUUUGGAUGGACUCGCGGCCUAUCAGCUUGUUGGUGGGGUAAUGGCCUACCAAGGCGACGACGGGUAGCCGGCCUGAGAGGGUGACCGGCCACACUGGGACUGAGACACGGCCCAGACUCC